rnacentral:lncRNA from 1 species
CAUGAUAAAAUUGGGUAAAAUCCAUGUGCUGGACAAGUGUUCUGGUGGUUGAAAAUUACAAUUUUGCCCUUGCGAUGGCAAAAUUACCAUUUUACCCCUAUACUCCGAAAAAUACCUAGAUCACCAUUUUUCACUUCUCAACCUCAAAUCAUACUCCAACAAGUCAAAUAUGAUCAAAAUCCUAAAAAAAAAAUUCCCAUUUUGUCAUCGAGUGGCAAAAUUAUCAUUUUACCCCUGGAUAGUGAAAUUUUCGGUUUGACUCCAAAUUGAUCCUCGAACUCCAAAUCACCAUAUUAAACCAUUCUGGGACUUUAAAAUUCUUAUUUUCAUCUUAAAUUCUCUAUUUGAUCUAAUUCGAGACUUAAAUCAACUUUGUUGUACCUUUAGGUACAAUACCGACUUUUGUAAAUUUUUCGAGACUCUCCUAGCAUGCAAACAUGCUAUCCAUCACAUGUAUGUCAUGACAAAUAUUUUACAGAGUCAGGCUUGACAUCUUUUCCCCCACUUGGAUCAACCAUAUGAUCCUUCUUCAUGACUGAUUUCGACAUCUAGCUAAAUAUUAAUAUUUUAAUAUUAUUUUAUUAAUAAAAUAUUAUUUUAUUCUAAAAAUUUUAUCUUGUCUCUUUGGUUCCCAAAGUUCCUUAUUAUGCCUCAAUUCGCAUCUGACCAACUUUAUUUAUCACCAUAUCAAAGUACGAGGUAUUUCAGGUUUGUUUCUAGACAUGAUAAACUAACUAAAAACACUAACAUAACUUAGAAUCAAAUCAAUCCAACUUCAUUCUCUCUCCAUAACCAUUCCAACCAGCUAUGAUUUCACCAUGAAAACAUGAAAUUUAACCAUGGAAAAUGAAAAAGAAAGCAUGGGUAGUGUAAAUCACAAGUCAAAAUCAAGAAAUUUUACCUUUAUUAGCUUAAUCCCUUGAAAUCCCACACUUUUUCUUCAAUUUUCCCAUCUAGGGUUCUUGUUUUUUUCCUUUCCUCCUUUGUUCUUCUUUGG